CUCAUUCUGGGGGUCUCAGGGUCAGUUUCAGGUCAGUUUGGGGGGUGUCAGGGUCAGUUUUGGGGGUUUGGGGGUCUCAGGGUCACUCUGGGGGUCUCAGGCUCAUUUUCGGGGUCUCAGGCUCAGUUUUGGGGGUCUCAGGGUGACUUUGGAGGGGUCUGAGGCUCAUUUUUGGGGUCUGAGGGUCAUUUUUGGGGUCUCAGGGUCAGUUUGGGAGUCUGAGGCUCAGUUUCAGGUCAGUUUUGGGGGUCUCAGGGUCAUUUUGGGGGUCUCAGGGUCAGUUUGGGGGUCUGAGGCUCAGUUUUGGGGUCUCAGGCUCAGUUUCAGGUCAGUUUUGGGGUCUCAGGCUCAGUUUCAGGUCAGUUUUUGGGGUCUCAGGCUCAGUUUCAGGUCAGUUUGGGGUUCUCAGGGUCAGUUUGGGGUCUGAGGCUCAGUUUUGGGGUCUCAGGCUCAGUUUCAGGUCAGUUUUGGGGUCUCAGGCUCAGUUUCAGGUCAGUUUUAGGGGUCUCAGGCUCAGUUUCAGGUCACUUUGGGGGUCUCUCCCACCUGGGCACCACGAGCAGGCCGAGGCUGCGGGCAGAGCCCACCAGGGAGCCCACCAGGGCGGGCAGGGCCGUGCCCCGCGUGCCCACCGCGGGGUCCCUCUGCUUGGCCACGGCCACCUCGAAGAGCUGCGCCAGGGACACCACGCCGGCCGCCUCGUGGCCUGGGGGGACCCAAAAUCCAUCAAAACACACCCAAAAUCCAUCAAAACACACCCAAAAUCCAUCAAAAUACACCCAAAAUCCAUCAAAAUACAUCCAAAAUCCACCCAGAGACACCACGCCGGCCGCCUCGUGCCCUGGGGGGACC